UACGUAGGGGGCGAGCGUUGUCCGGAUUUAUUGGGCGUAAAGAGCGUGUAGGCGGCCAGGUAGGUCCGUUGUGAAAACUCGAGGCUCAACCUCGAGACGUCGAUGGAAACCAUCUGGCUAGAGUCCGGAAGAGGAGAGUGGAAUUCCUGGUGUAGCGGUGAAAUGCGCAGAUAUCAGGAAGAACACCGAUGGCGAAGGCAGAUCUCUGGGCCGUAACUGACGCUGAGGAGCGAAAGCAUGGGGAGCGAACAGG
rnacentral:rRNA from 1 species